rnacentral:rRNA from 1 species
UACAGAGGUCUCAAGCGUUGUUCGGAUUCAUUGGGCGUAAAGGGUGCGUAGGCGGCGCGGUAAGUCGGGUGUGAAAUCUCGGAGCUUAACUCCGAAACUGCAUUCGAUACUGCCGUGCUUGAGGACUGGAGAGGAGACUGGAAUUUACGGUGUAGCGGUGAAAUGCGUAGAUAUCGUAAGGAAGACCAGUGGCGAAGGCGGGUCUCUGGACAGUUCCUGACGCUGAGGCACGAAGGUCAGGGAGCAAACAGG